ACGUACACUCCUACGGGAGGCAGCAGUGGGGAAUAUUGGACAAUGGGCGCAAGCCUGAUCCAGCCAUGCCGCUUGAGUGAUGAAGGCCCUAGGGUUGUAAAGCUCUUUCACCGGUGAAGAUAAUGACGGUAACCGGAGAAGAAGCCCCGGCUAACUUCGUGCCAGCAGCCGCGGUAAUACGAAGGGGGCUAGCGUUGUUCGGAUUUACUGGGCGUAAAGCGCACGUGGGCGGACUAUUAAGUCAGGGGUGAAAUCCCGGGGCUCAACCCCGGAACUGCCUUUGAUACUGGUAGUCUUGAGUUCGAGAGAGGUGAGUGGAAUUCCGAGUGUAGAGGUGAAAUUCGUAGAUAUUCGGAGGAACACCAGUGGCGAAGGCGGCUCACUGGCUCGAUACUGACGCUGAGGUGCGAAAGCGUGGGGAGCAAACAGGAUUAGAAACCCGAGUAGUCCCAUGAU
rnacentral:rRNA from 1 species